GAUGAACGCUGGCGGCGUGCCUAAUACAUGCAAGUCGAGCGAAUGGAUUAAGAGCUUGCUCUUAUGAAGUUAGCGGCGGACGGGUGAGUAACACGUGGGUAACCUGCCCAUAAGACUGGGAUAACUCCGGGAAACGGGGGCUAAUACCGGAUAACAUUUUGAACCGCAUGGUUCGAAAUUGAAAGGCGGAUUCGGCUGUCACUUAUGGAUGGACCCGGGUCGCAUUAGCUAGUUGGUGAGGUAACGGCUCACCAAGGCAACGAUGCGUAGCCGACCUGAGAGGGUGAUCGGCCACACUGGGACUGAGACACGGCCCAGACUCCUACGGGAGGCAGCAGUAGGGAAUCUUCCGCAAUGGACGAAAGUCUGACGGAGCAACGCCGCGUGAGUGAUGAAGGCUUUCGGGUCGUAAAACUCUGUUGUUAGGGAAGAACAAGUGCUAGUUGAAUAAGCUGGCACCUUGACGGUACCUAACCAGAAAGCCACGGCUAACUACGUGCCAGCCGCCGCAGUAA
rnacentral:rRNA from 1 species